GGAAAUGCGGCGUGCUAUACAUGCAGUCGAGCGAACAGAUAAGGAGCUUGCUCCUUUGACGUUAGCGGCGGACGGGUGAGUAACACGUGGGUAACCUACCUAUAAGACUGGGAUAACUUCGGGAAACCGGAGCUAAUACCGGAUAACAUUUGGAACCGCAUGGUUCUAAAGUGAAAGAUGGUUUUGCUAUCACUUAUAGAUGGACCCGCGCCGUAUUAGCUAGUUGGUAAGGUAACGGCUUACCAAGGCGACGAUACGUAGCCGACCUGAGAGGGUGAUCGGCCACACUGGAACUGAGACACGGUCCAGACUCCUACGGGAGGCAGCAGUAGGGAAUCUUCCGCAAUGGGCGAAAGCCUGACGGAGCAACGCCGCGUGAGUGAUGAAGGGUUUCGGCUCGUAAAACUCUGUUAUUAGGGAAGAACAAACGUGUAAGUAACUGUGCACGUCUUGACGGUACCUAAUCAGAAAGCCACGGCUAACUACGUGCCAGCAGCCGCGGUAAUACGUAGGUGGCAAGCGUUAUCCGGAAUUAUUGGGCGUAAAGCGCGCGUAGGCGGUUUCUUAAGUCUGAUGUGAAAGCCCACGGCUCAACCGUGGAGGGUCAUUGGAAACUGGGAAACUUGAGUGCAGAAGAGGAAAGUGGAAUUCCAUGUGUAGCGGUGAAAUGCGCAGAGAUAUGGAGGAACACCAGUGGCGAAGGCGACUUUCUGGUCUGUAACUGACGCUGAUGUGCGAAAGCGUGGGGAUCAAACAGGAUUAGAUACCCUGGUAGUCCACGCCGUAAACGAUGAGUGCUAAGUGUUAGGGGGUUUCCGCCCCUUAGUGCUGCAGCUAACGCAUUAAGCACUCCGCCUGGGGAGUACGACCGCAAGGUUGAAACUCAAAGGAAUUGACGGGGACCCGCACAAGCGGUGGAGCAUGUGGUUUAAUUCGAAGCAACGCGAAGAACCUUACCAAAUCUUGACAUCCUUUGAAAACUCUAGAGAUAGAGCCUUCCCCUUCGGGGGACAAAGUGACAGGUGGUGCAUGGUUGUCGUCAGCUCGUGUCGUGAGAUGUUGGGUUAAGUCCCGCAACGAGCGCAACCCUUAAGCUUAGUUGCCAUCAUUAAGUUGGGCACUCUAGGUUGACUGCCGGUGACAAACCGGAGGAAGGUGGGGAUGACGUCAAAUCAUCAUGCCCCUUAUGAUUUGGGCUACACACGUGCUACAAUGGACAAUACAAAGGGCAGCUAAACCGCGAGGUCAUGCAAAUCCCAUAAAGUUGUUCUCAGUUCGGAUUGUAGUCUGCAACUCGACUACAUGAAGCUGGAAUCGCUAGUAAUCGUAGAUCAGCAUGCUACGGUGAAUACGUUCCCGGGUCUUGUACACACCGCCCGUCACACCACGAGAGUUUGUAACACCCGAAGCCGGUGGAGUAACCAUUUAUGGAGCUAGCCGUCGAAAGUGAACAAGAAGUG
rnacentral:rRNA from 1 species